GUUAAGCGACUAAGCGUACACGGUGGAUGCCCUGGCAGUCAGAGGCGAUGAAGGACGUGCUAAUCUGCGAUAAGCGUCGGUAAGGUGAUAUGAACCGUUAUAACCGGCGAUUUCCGAAUGGGGAAACCCAGUGUGAUCCGUCACACUAUCAUUAACUGAAUCCAUAGGUUAAUGAGGCGAACCGGGGGAACUGAAACAUCUAAGUACCCCGAGGAAAAGAAAUCAACCGAGAUUCCCCCAGUAGCGGCGAGCGAACGGGGAGGAGCCCAGAGCCUGAAUCAGUAUGUGUGUUAGUGGAAGCGUCUGGAAAGGCGUGCGAUACAGGGUGACAGCCCCGUACACAAAAACGCACAUGCUGUGAGCUCGAUGAGUAGGGCGGGACACGUGGUAUCCUGUCUGAAUAUGGGGGGACCAUCCUCCAAGGCUAAAUACUCCUGACUGACCGAUAGUGAACCAGUACCGUGAGGGAAAGGCGAAAAGAACCCCGGCGAGGGGAGUGAAAAAGAACCUGAAACCGUGUACGUACAAGCAGUGGGAGCCUCUUUAAUGGGGUGACUGCGUACCUUUUGUAUAAUGGGUCAGCGACUUAUAUUCUGUAGCAAGGUUAACCGAAUAGGGGAGCCGAAGGGAAACCGAGUCUUAACUGGGCGUUAAGUUGCAGGGUAUAGACCCGAAACCCGGUGAUCUAGCCAUGGGCAGGUUGAAGGUUGGGUAACACUAACUGGAGGACCGAACCGACUAAUGUUGAAAAAUUAGCGGAUGACUUGUGGCUGGGGGUGAAAGGCCAAUCAAACCGGGAGAUAGCUGGUUCUCCCCGAAAGCUAUUUAGCUAGCGCCUCGUGAAUUCAUCUCCGGGGGUAGAGCACUGUUUCGGCAAGGGGGUCAUCCCGACUUACCAACCCGAUGCAAACUGCGAAUACCGGAGAAUGUUAUCACGGGAGACACACGGCGGGUGCUAACGUCCGUCGUGAAGAGGGAAACAACCCAGACCGCCAGCUAAGGUCCCAAAGUCAUGGUUAAGUGGGAAACGAUGUGGGAAGGCCCAGACAGCCAGGAUGUUGGCUUAGAAGCAGCCAUCAUUUAAAGAAAGCGUAAUAGCUCACUGGUCGAGUCGGCCUGCGCGGAAGAUGUAACGGGGCUAAACCAUGCACCGAAGCUGCGGCAGCGACACUAUGUGUUGUUGGGUAGGGGAGCGUUCUGUAAGCCGUUGAAGGUGUGCUGUGAGGCAUGCUGGAGGUAUCAGAAGUGCGAAUGCUGACAUAAGUAACGAUAAAGCGGGUGAAAAGCCCGCUCGCCGGAAGACCAAGGGUUCCUGUCCAACGUUAAUCGGGGCAGGGUGAGUCGACCCCUAAGGCGAGGCCGAAAGGCGUAGUCGAUGGGAAACAGGUUAAUAUUCCUGUACUUGGUGUUACUGCGAAGGGGGGACGGAGAAGGCUAUGUUGGCCGGGCGACGGUUGUCCCGGUUUAAGCGUGUAGGCUGAUUUUCCAGGCAAAUCCGGAGAAUCAAGGCUGAGGCGUGAUGACGAGGCACUACGGUGCUGAAGCAACAAAUGCCCUGCUUCCAGGAAAAGCCUCUAAGCAUCAGGUAACAUCAAAUCGUACCCCAAACCGACACAGGUGGUCAGGUAGAGAAUACCAAGGCGCUUGAGAGAACUCGGGUGAAGGAACUAGGCAAAAUGGUGCCGUAACUUCGGGAGAAGGCACGCUGAUAUGUAGGUGAAGCGACUUGCUCGUGGAGCUGAAAUCAGUCGAAGAUACCAGCUGGCUGCAACUGUUUAUUAAAAACACAGCACUGUGCAAACACGAAAGUGGACGUAUACGGUGUGACGCCUGCCCGGUGCCGGAAGGUUAAUUGAUGGGGUCAGCCGCAAGGCGAAGCUCUUGAUCGAAGCCCCGGUAAACGGCGGCCGUAACUAUAACGGUCCUAAGGUAGCGAAAUUCCUUGUCGGGUAAGUUCCGACCUGCACGAAUGGCGUAAUGAUGGCCAGGCUGUCUCCACCCGAGACUCAGUGAAAUUGAACUCGCUGUGAAGAUGCAGUGUACCCGCGGCAAGACGGAAAGACCCCGUGAACCUUUACUAUAGCUUGACACUGAACAUUGAGCCUUGAUGUGUAGGAUAGGUGGGAGGCUUUGAAGUGUGGACGCCAGUCUGCAUGGAGCCGACCUUGAAAUACCACCCUUUAAUGUUUGAUGUUCUAACGUGGACCCGUGAUCCGGGUUGCGGACAGUGUCUGGUGGGUAGUUUGACUGGGGCGGUCUCCUCCUAAAGAGUAACGGAGGAGCACGAAGGUUGGCUAAUCCUGGUCGGACAUCAGGAGGUUAGUGCAAUGGCAUAAGCCAGCUUGACUGCGAGCGUGACGGCGCGAGCAGGUGCGAAAGCAGGUCAUAGUGAUCCGGUGGUUCUGAAUGGAAGGGCCAUCGCUCAACGGAUAAAAGGUACUCCGGGGAUAACAGGCUGAUACCGCCCAAGAGUUCAUAUCGACGGCGGUGUUUGGCACCUCGAUGUCGGCUCAUCACAUCCUGGGGCUGAAGUAGGUCCCAAGGGUAUGGCUGUUCGCCAUUUAAAGUGGUACGCGAGCUGGGUUUAGAACGUCGUGAGACAGUUCGGUCCCUAUCUGCCGUGGGCGCUGGAGAACUGAGGGGGGCUGCUCCUAGUACGAGAGGACCGGAGUGGACGCAUCACUGGUGUUCGGGUUGUCAUGCCAAUGGCACUGCCCGGUAGCUAAAUGCGGAAGAGAUAAGUGCUGAAAGCAUCUAAGCACGAAACUUGCCCCGAGAUGAGUUCUCCCUGAGACUUUAAGUCUCCUGAAGGAACGUUGAAGACGACGACGUUGAUAGGCCGGGUGUGUAAGCGCAGCGAUGCGUUGAGCUAACCGGUACUAAUGAACCGUGAGGCUUAACC
rnacentral:rRNA from 1 species